rnacentral:sRNA from 1 species
UUUCAAGCACAAGCUUUUGUGCUCUCUUCUGGGCAGCUCGUAGCUGGCUGCCUGGUUGUAUAACAGUUCAAAAGAGCUGUCUAGAGAGAACAAGUUUGCAUAGCUGUGGCCAACACACUCCCCCCCCUUGCCGACCACGGCCUGAACCAACGGAAAGUCUGGUGGAAUUUGGACGCGUCAACAUCCUCCGCCUUGGUUAUUUUCUUGUUCUUGCUUCUACUGCCCGUGCCCGUGGGCUCGUCUCGCACUCUGCCGAGGGCCGGCCGUCCGCGCAACCCCCCUCUGCACCAACAAGUGAUUUGCUGUUGUGUGUGUAAGUGUAAGAAGGUCAGCGGUAAAUCGGUACAGUGCAUAAACAUUGAUACAAGCGAUACGAUUGAUCCCGCAUGAUGAGUCAGCGGCGUUGAACGGCUGAACAUUGAACGAUGGACAGGCGCCCCCGCCCCCGCCCCCAAUAACGCGUCGGAAGAUAUGGGGUUCCAGGAAUCCCAAUCGCCAUCCUCGUUCCUCCCCUCCCUCCUGCCAACCACGCCCUCAGUAUUUCGUCAGAAAAGCUUGAGCUUACAACUGUCCUACGAGCACAUCCUGUGUCACCUUCAACUGUCAUACGCGGACGACGGCGACGUCGCUGCCCGUUGCUGCUGCCUGCUGCCUGCUGUUGAUGUUGGCAGCGGCCUGUGCAGAGAGUAUUCGGGAAUCCAGUUUUUGGGGGCUCGCCCCGUCACACACAAAGCCACAUAGUGUGCUGUAUAUGUAUGUACAUAUACAUUAACUUAUAUAUACAUACAUAUACAUAUGUAUAUGUAUGUAGAUGUUUGAGUGCGAGGGGUUGCUUUUGCGCUUGUCCGUUUUGUUACAUAUUACAAACAUAUUGUACAUAAUAUAUACAAAAUAAUUGAUUUUUGUUAGUAUUUUAUCGUGGGUAUUACAUACAUACAUAUAUGUAUGUAUGUACCUACUCUUUGAGUGUGUGACGUCAAUGAUGAUGACGUCGCCGAAGCAGCGUCGUCUGUCUGAUGAAACGCAACCCACUCAGCCUCUGCCUCAGUCCAGAGGUCAAUGCAGCGACAGAGCGGCGCAGCGGCUAAUGACAGAGAGUGGAAAAUUUGUGAAAAUCACAAAAUCCUAGAGAGGAUGGGUGACAGAAAGAGAGACAGAUAGAGAGAGAGCGAGAGCGAAAGCGAGAUGCUAUCCGGCCUUCGCUCAUGAGGAAAAGUCAUUAAUUAUAAUACUUAUUGUAUUUGGCAAGCCGUAAAUAAACUUCACGUGACGCUCGAAAAACGCGGAAAACACA